AUGGAGUGGGGUCUAACCCGUCUACAACCAUGGAUGGAGACGCUCCAAACCCUAGCAUGGGGACCGAGCCGCCAUGGAUGUUCGAAUGAGGCAGGAGGCCAGCGGCCAGGACGACGCCAUGCAGCAGCAAGGUUCCUUGGUGGGUACAGCAGCAGCAGAAAGAGGACACCAUGGUGGGUACAGCGGCAGAAGCAGCAGCUCGAUGGACGCAUGGACGCCACCAUGGAAGCUGCGGGGAUGGAGGCGGCAUUCGGGUCUGGAGAUGGCAUGAGAAGCAGAGCUCUUUCUGCCACUAUCUCUACAAAGAAAGUGUAG
rnacentral:rRNA from 1 species